GGAAGGGGCUGGGAAAUGGGAAGAGGUCACUCUGCCUCGGAAACUACAUAACGACUGGGAAGGACCUCCAAACAAGACUGGAACCAGUAGGAAGUUGUACAGUGGGAAGAAGAGGGUGGUCAAGAUUGACUGGCUGGAAGAUGAGAGAGCUCCCUCCUGAUGGUUUCUACUUGCCUUUGAAAUUCAUCAGCUAAGGGUCAAAGAGAGGAACAGAAGAGUAAAUCAGAAAAGGAAAUGGCCACUACUGUCUAAUUAGAUGGUACCCUCUGAGAUGGAGAGAUUACAUCCCCAACUCAUCUACGUCAUGUUUAAAGAUCUGAAUGUUCACUUCAGCUCCUGUUGCAUCUUAAUGGAGGCUGCUUGUGCAAAAUGACGUUUGGC